CACGUAGGGUGCAAGCGUUGUCCGGAAUCAUUGGGCGUAAAGAGCUCGUAGGCGGCUUAGUAAGUCGGGUGUGAAAACCCCAGGCUCAACCUGGGGACGCCACCCGAUACUGCUAUAGCUAGAGUCCAGUAGGGGAGUGUGGAAUUCCCAGUGUAGCGGUGAAAUGCGUAGAUAUCUGGAGGAACACCGGUGGCGAAGGCGGCAUCCUGGACCAAUACUGACGCUGAGGAGCGAAAGCCAGGGGAGCAAACGGG
rnacentral:rRNA from 1 species